rnacentral:rRNA from 1 species
AACGAACGCUGGCGGCAGGCCUAACACAUGCAAGUCGAACGAGUAAGAGCCGUAGCAAUACGGAGUUCUGCUAGUGGCGCACGGGUGAGUAACGCGUGGGAACGUGCCUUGGAGUUCGGGAUAACAGUUGGAAACGACUGCUAAUACCGAAUAUUCCCUCAGGGGGAAAGAUUUAUCGCUCCAAGAUCGGCCCGCGUAAGAUUAGGUAGUUGGUGGGGUAAUGGCCUACCAAGCCUACGAUCUUUAGCUGGUCUGAGAGGACGACCAGCCACACUGGAACUGAGACACGGUCCAGACUCCUACGGGAGCAGCAGUGGGGAAUAUUGGACAAUGGGCGAAAGCCUGAUCCAGCCAUGCCGCGUGAAUGAUGAAGGCCUUAGGGUUGUAAAAUUCUUUUGUCAGGGGAAGAUAAUGACGGUACCCUGCGAAUAAG